rnacentral:rRNA from 1 species
AGGACGAACGCUGGCGGCGUGCUUAACACAUGCAAGUGGAGCGACGAACCGGGGCUUGCCCCGGGGCAGAGCCGCGAACGGGUGAGUAACACGUGGGUUACCUACCCCGAUGACCGGGACAACCCGAGGAAACUCGAGCUAAUACCGGAUGUGGUCUUCGGACGAAAGGAAGCUUCGGCCUCCGCAUCGGGAUGGGCCCGCGGCGCAUUAGCUUGUUGGUGGGGUAACGGCCUACCAAGGCGACGAUGCGUAGCUGGUCUGAGAGGACGAUCAGCCACACUGGGACUGAGACACGGCCCAGACUCCUACGGGAGGCAGCAGUGGGGAAUCUUGCGCAAUGCGCGAAAGCGUGACGCAGCAACGCCGCGUGGGGGAAGAAGGCCUCGGUUGUAACCUCUUUCAGUUGGGUACGAAGGCUCCGCCGGUUAAUAGCCGGUUGGCGUGACGGUACCUUCAGAAGAAGCCCCGGCUAACUACGUGCCAGCAGCCGC